rnacentral:rRNA from 1 species
UCCGACCUCAAAUCGAACAAGAUUACCCGCUGAAUUUAACCAUAUAACUAAGCGGAGGAAAAGAAACUAACAGGGAUUUCCCCAGUAACGGCGAGUGAAGCGGGAAGAGCCCACCACCGAAUCCCUCAUUGUCACGCUGACGGGAACUGUGGUGUGUGGGACGCCACCAGUCGCAUCAGAGGGCGCCGAAGUCCUCCUGAUCCGGGGCUUCACCCAAAGCGGGUGUACGGCCUUUGCAGGUGCCUCUCUGUGCGGCCGCAAGCGUCUCAGGAGUCGGGUUGUCUGGCAUUGCAGCCGGAAUGGGUGGUAAACUGCACUACGCUAAUACUGCACGAGU